GUAGGUGGGAUCGGUGUAUUACCAGCUGGCUGCAGCAACACAACCAGGAGGACUUUGAGUUGGAUAGCAGACGCGCUAUCCGACGCUAGCCGCCGACCGCAUCGAUGAUCGGGUGAAGUCUUUCGUCGCUCCGUCGAUCGCUGGAACACAGGUGAGCACGGGUGUUGAUGAGCAGAUGAGGGCUGGCGUAGGUGGAGCGCUAAUGUUUUUAUCAUAUACAACACUUCCUUCUUCUCUCCUCUUCUCCCCUGUCCCUUGCGAGGGGGAGUUGCAUAGGUCCGGUGGCCAUGGAUGAAGUGCUGGCUGUCCAGAGUCGGGACCCCGGGUGGACCACUAGCCUGUGCAUCGGUUGGGGACAUCUCUGCGCUGCUGACCCGUCUCCGCUCGGGAUGGUUUCCUGUUGGCCCCGCUGUGGACUGGACUCCCGCUGAUGUGUUGGAUCCACUGUGGACUGGACUUUCACAAUGUUAUGUCAGACCCACUCGACAUCCGUUGCUUUCGGUCUCCCCUAGAGGGGGGGGGUUACCCACAUAUGCGGUCCUCUCCAAGGUUUCUCAUAGUCAUUCACCGACGUCCCACUGGGAAACCAAGACCUUUGCUGAGAUCGUGGAGCCUUUCCAUCCCAUACGCUGACGUCACUAUUGUUCUUCUAAAUAAACACCUUACACUGCAA